GACGAACGCUGGCGGCGUGCUUAACACAUGCAAGUCGAACGGAAAGGCCCUGCUUUGGUUGGCUGCUCGAGUGGCGAACGGGUGAGUAACACGUGAGUAACCUGCCCUUGACUGUGUGAUAACUUCAGGAAACUGGGGCUAAUACCUGAUAGGAGCUCCUGCUGCAGGGUGGGGGUUGGAAAGUUUCGGCGGUUGGGGAUGGACUCGCGGCUUAUCAGCUUGUUGGUGGGGUAGUGGCUUACCAAGGCUUUGACGGGUAGCCGGCCUGAGAGGGUGACCGGCGACAUUGGGACUGAGGUACGGCACAGACUCCUAAGGGAGGCAGAAGUGGGGAAUCUUGCACCAUGCGUGGAAGCCAGAUGCAGAAACGCCGCGUGUGGGAUGCCGGUUUUCGGGUUGUAAAACGCUUUCGCCUGUAAAGCCGCGUGAGUGACGGUAAUGGGUAAAGAAGCCACGGCUAACUACGUG
rnacentral:rRNA from 1 species